rnacentral:lncRNA from 1 species
UUUACCCUAUGUUCAGAAACUGCUUGAUCAUCUCCUGUUCAAGUUUUAUUUCCCAUGUUUGAUAUGUAGAUGGGUCCUACUAGAAUGAAGAUUCAAGAGGUGAUCUUCAUCUAAGCAUCCCAGGCCUAGAGAACCAAGUCCUGCAUUAGGUGGUUCUGGGUUUGGUCCUCGGAUACCGUCUCCGGGGAUUAGGUGCGUUUUUUACAUGUUUACAUAAAAAGUUUCAGAUUCUACCAUUCCUUUCUUCUCAUGCUCAAAUAACCUAAAACAUUCAUUCGUUUUCAUUCAGAGUAUCUAGAGGUCUUAACUUGGUUAUUUAGUUUCCUUGAUAAUGGGUCAAACAAGUAAAAUCUGAAAAUUAUUCACAAAAAUAAAAUGGGUUAAAAAGAUUCAAGGGUCAAAAGCCGCCUAGCGUGUUCAAACGUAUACAUUAUCGAUGACACCAAGUCUUUUUUGGUUUAAUGGAGUUUAGGCAUUCAACGGAUCGAGAAGUUGCUAUCAUGAUACUCAUAGCUUAUCUUUCUUACAUGCUAGCUGAGGGAUAUCUUCCUCUUUGCUUAUCUUGCAAGUUUUUUUUCUUCCUUUAAUAGAAGUAAUUUCGACAUGUUUUGUUAUGAAUGAGUAAUUCGGGCCAUAACUGGUUUUCUUAUGAAUUGCAACAACAACUUUGCCCACUAUAAUCCCAGUUAAUUUAACUAUUUUCUCAUGAACAAUACCAUAUCAAGUUUG